GGACAUCACUGAAAAUGCAGUCUACUUAAAUAGCUAUUUGGAUAAUUAGAUAGAUCCAAUCAGUGGGGGAAAACCACAAAAGCAAUCAUUAGAUGAGAAAAUGCUCACGUUGAAAAUGCACUGGUGUCAGAAAGAAAGAAAAUGAUUUUUUUUUCAAAGCAACUAGAGUUUAGGGAAAAGUGCUGAGAAACCAGUUUCUUUUCAUAGGAAUGGGCGAGACUGAUUAUGCAUUUGUUAGUUCCGUCAGCACUGUUUGGAUACAAUAUAGAUGCAUUGAUUUUCAUGCAUAUGCUAUGUGUCCUUUUCCUACACAGAAAAUAUGGUGUUCACAAAAAAGAGAUGAGAUUUUUUGGUGGUUGAAAUAAUAAAUUCAACUUUUUGUCUUCAUCUUAAGUUAUUUUCCUUCUGAUCUUAAUAAAUUAUUUGUGAUUUAUUAUGAAGAAUAUUUGCCCAAGAAAAUUAAUUCCAGCAGAAGGUCAGACCUCAAACCUCUCAUUUUAUAGCUUCAUCUUUAGAGGAAGUUUUGGAAAUGGAAGCAGGAAAAGCAGAAGACAGGUCACUGCACAGACAAGGUCUUCCUUUAAUAGAUGGUCAGACCAGGAGAGAGCCUCAAACAUCAUAAUUCUACAGAGCCGGGAAGAACCACUUCUGGAAUGGAAUCUGAGCUACAGAAGAUUCCAUCAACGAGCAGAAAGAGGUAGGCGUGCCAUGUCUUGUUAAUAGCAUUGAUCAUGUCUGGAAGUCACAGGUCAACAUGGUAAAGGCUACAAGGGAAAUAUAAUCCACGUUUUUGAAUCCUCCUGAAAACAUUGACUUAAGUCUCUCUCCUAGGCCUCCAUAUCAGAAGUGAUUUUUAAAAUAUUUAUAUCUAUACAGGUUUAAUUUUUUUUAAUAAAAGAAUGCAAUACACCCCA
rnacentral:lncRNA from 1 species